rnacentral:ncRNA from 2 species
UGUUUCGAGGAGCGUUGCAGCACCGAGCCCCAUGCGGCGGCGGUGUGAGGCUCGAAACCGGUCACGGCACCCGCGCCGUUGGCCCACCCGCAACGACGCUCACCCACU